rnacentral:sRNA from 1 species
AGGCAUACAGUAGCACUCACUCCCCAGUAGCUGCUCCUGUUAAUUUCCAUUCACAGUGAAAAUUCCUGAGGUGGGGGGUCCUUCUCUGCUGAAUGGGACAGGGCAAGGGGAGUGGUGAGGCAGACAGGGGCCCUGGCAGAGAACAUCAGAGAAGAUGAGUGCUGGGGGAGGGUCCAGGGUUGGUCUUAGUGGAUGGCAGAGCUGGCCCUGGGCCAUCGCAAAUCCUCAUCUCCCCUUCCUGCAGACAGCUCCUCUCCUACAUCACCAAGGACAAGCAGACAGAGAGCCUGGUGGAAAAGCUGUGUCAGCGGUUCCGCACAGCCCAAACUGAGCGGCAGCAGCGAGACCUGGCCUACUGUGUGUCACAGCUGCCCCUCACAGAGCGAGGCCUCCGCAAGAUGCUUGACAAUUUUGACUGUUUUGGAGACAAACUGUCAGAUGAGUCCAUCUUCAGUGCUUUUUUGUCAGUUGUGGGCAAGCUGCGACGUGGGGCCAAGCCUGAAGGCAAGGCUGUAAUAGAUGAAUUUGAGCAGAAGCUUCGGGCCUGUC